GAUGAACGCUGGCGGCGUGCCUAAUACAUGCAAGUCGAGCGAACAGACGAGGAGCUUGCUCCUCUGACGUUAGCGGCGGACAGGUGAGUAACACGUGGAUAACCUACCUAUAAGACUGGGAUAACUUCGGGAAACCGGAGCUAAUACCGGAUAAAAUAUUGAACCGCAUGGUUCAAUAGUGAAAGACGGUUUUGCUGUCACUUAUAGAUGGAUCCGCGCCGCAUUAGCUAGUUGGUAAGGUAACGGCUUACCAAGGCAACGAUGCGUAGCCGACCUGAGAGGGUGAUCGGCCACACUGGAACUGAGACACGGUCCAGACUCCUACGGGAGGCAGCAGUAGGGAAUCUUCCGCAAUGGGCGAAAGCCUGACGGAGCAACGCCGCGUGAGUGAUGAAGGUCUUCGGAUCGUAAAACUCUGUUAUUAGGGAAGAACAAAUGUGUAAGUAACUAUGCACGUCUUGACGGUACCUAAUCAGAAAGCCACGGCUAACUACGUG
rnacentral:rRNA from 1 species